UUUGAUCCUGGCUCAGGACGAACGCUGGCGGCGUGCUUAACACAUGCAAGCCGAACGCUGAACCGGUUUUCGGAUCGGGGAUGAGUGGCGAACGGGUGAGUAACACGUGGAUAACCUGUCCUUUGCUCUGGGAUAAGCCUUGGAAACGAGGUCUAAUACCGGAUAUGACCGCAUCGCGCAUGUGGUGUGGUGGAAAGUUUUUGCGGCAGGGGGUGGAUCCGCGGCCUAUCAGCUUGUUGGUGGGGUGAUGGCCUACCAAGGCGACGACGGGUAGCCGGCCUGAGAGGGUGACCGGCCACACUGGGACUGAGACACGGCCCAGACUCCUACGGGAGGCAGCAGUGGGGAAUCUUGCACAAUGGGCGCAUGCCUGAUGCAGCGACGCCGCGUGAGGGAUGACGGCCUUCCGGUUGUANACCUCUUUCACCUGGGACGAAGGGGUAACUUGACCGGAACAGGGGAAGAACCA
rnacentral:rRNA from 1 species